rnacentral:tRNA from 1 species
NGGUAGUUCAGUUGGUUAGAAUACCGGCCUGUCACGCCGGGGGUCGCGGGUUCGAGUCCCGUCCACUCC